UUGGAACCACAAAAGCAACUUGAAGUGAGUUGUAUUUACAAGUUAGAUGUACUUACAAAAUGAAGUCAAAGUUGGAUUAAGGUUUAUUCACAAUGAGUAUUUAGGAAAUGAUUUUUGAAAAGUUAAAGGCAUAAGGCCUAGGUUUCUAGUUUGAAACAAAGUCAAAGUUUGCAAGAAAAGAUUUUGGCUUGGGUUAGAGUGGGGAGAAGAAGAGAAGGGCUAGUCCUAAAGCAUACGAAGAUAAGAGAGAAAAGAUAAA
rnacentral:lncRNA from 1 species